CCCCUCCCCGGGGGGUGGCUAGUGCCCGCCAGAGGACCAUCAAACUCCAGUCAGUGAACGUCGCAGUCUGAAAAAACAUUCAAUAAACUAAAACUUUCAACAACGGAUCUCUUGGUUCUGGCAUCGAUGAAGAACGCAGCGAAAUGCGAUAAGUAAUGUGAAUUGCAGAAUUCAGUGAAUCAUCGAAUCUUUGAACGCACAUUGCGCCCCUUGGUAUUCCGAGGGGCAUGCCUGUUCGAGCGUCAUUACAACCCUCAAGCUCUGCUUGGUAUUGGGCACCGCCCUUCUUCGGGCGCGCCUCAAAGACCUCGGCGGUGGCUGUCUUGCCUCAAGCGUAGUAGAAUACACCUCGCUUCGGAGCGCAGGGCGUCGCCCGCCGGACGAACCUUCUGAACUUUUCUCAAGGUUGACCUCGGAUCAGGUAGGGAUACCCGCUGAACUUAAGCAUAU
rnacentral:rRNA from 1 species